UGCCUUACACAUGCAAGUCGAACGGCAGCACGGGUGCUUGCACCUGGUGGCGAGUGGCGAACGGGUGAGUAAUACAUCGGAACAUGUCCUGUAGUGGGGGAUAGCCCGGCGAAAGCCGGAUUAAUACCGCAUACGAUCUAUGGAUGAAAGCGGGGGACCUUCGGGCCUCGCGCUAUAGGGUUGGCCGAUGGCUGAUUAGCUAGUUGGUGGGGUAAAGGCCUACCAAGGCGACGAUCGGUAGCUGGUCUGAGAGGACGACCAGCCACACUGGGACUGAGACACGGCCCAGACUCCUACGGGAGGCAGCAGUGGGGAAUUUUGGACAAUGGGCGAAAGCCUGAUCCAGCAAUGCCGCGUGUGUGAAGAAGGCCUUCGGGUUGUAAAGCACUUUUGUCCGGAAAGAAAUCCUUGGUUCUAAUAUAGCCGGGGGAUGACGGUACCGGAAGAAUAAGCACCGGCUAACUACGUGCCAGCAGCCGCGGUAAUACGUAGGGUGCGAGCGUUAAUCGGAAUUACUGGGCGUAAAGCGUGCGCAGGCGGUUUGCUAAGACCGAUGUGAAAUCCCCGGGCUCAACCUGGGAACUGCAUUGGUGACUGGCAGGCUAGAGUAUGGCAGAGGGGGGUAGAAUUCCACGUGUAGCAGUGAAAUGCGUAGAGAUGUGGAGGAAUACCGAUGGCGAAGGCAGCCCCCUGGGCCAAUACUGAC
rnacentral:rRNA from 1 species